AUAUUGAAAGCGCUUAAUCAAUUAUGAACGGGAGAACCACUUUUGGGGUGAAUCUUGUAUUAAAACAAGUAGGGUUAAUUUCUUCGAUCCGAAUCCGUCAGCUAAUCUCGUAAGCGUUGAAGAGAAGUUUU
rfam:Clostridium tyrobutyricum DIVETGP, WGS project CBXI01000000 data, contig: NODE_14